UCCCUCUCAGAAUUACAUCUGGAGAGUUUUCAGUCCUCUAACAGUCUUGGCUAUGGGAGGGAGAGUCAAGCAGAGGCCUACUCAUUCCAUUCCUAGCUUGGUCGGUGGUUAGCCAGUGGAAGGCAAUCUGCUACAAGU